AACGAACGCUGGCGGCAGGCUUAACACAUGCAAGUCGAACGGGUGCAGCAAUGCAUCAGUGGCAGACGGGUGAGUAACACGUGGGAACCUUCCUAGGGGUACGGAACAACUCAGGGAAACUUGAGCUAAUACCGUAUACGUCCGUGAGGAGAAAGAUGUUAUCGCCCUUAGACGGGCCCGCGUCGGAUUAGCUAGUUGGUGGGGUAACGGCCUACCAAGGCGACGAUCCGUAGCUGAUCUUAGAGGAUGAUCAGCCACACUGGGACUGGGACACGGCCCAGACUCCUACGGGAGGCAGCAGUGGGGAAUCUUGGACAAUGGGCGCAAGCCUGAUCCAGCCAUGCCGCGUGAGUGAAGAAGGUCUUCGGAUUGUAAAGCUCUUUUGCCAGGGACGAUAAUGACGGUACCUGGAGAAUAAGCCCCGGCAAACUUCGUGCCAGCAGCCGCAGUAA
rnacentral:rRNA from 1 species